UUUUUUCCUGCCGUUUUAAGAGAGAUACUUUAAGAAGUUAACGGAAUGCAGAAAAAUUGAAUUUGAUUGCAAUUUCCUGUGAGUGUUCUAGUAUCAAGCACUUUGUAAGGUUAAGCACAAGGUGGAACCAAUCUUUGACUACUGGAGUUUGUUAACUCUUAACAAUGCUGUCCCUUUGUAUUUCUUAAUCUUGGUUUUAUUCUUCUGCUGAUGUUAUACAUCUGAUGAUGGUGCACGUAUGGAAACCUUAAAUCAGAUUAAAGUCUCAAAAGCAUUCCCCUGACUAGUAUCAAAACAGCAUUGGUGAACAAGAAAAUUAAUCUAGGGUGUUUUUAAAAUGAUGGGUGCAAAUGUAUUUCUGAAUAGUUCUAAAGAGUUCUUCGUCCCAACUCUACCUUGUUCCAAUAAUUUUAUAUCUGGAAAUAACUAAUGCAUAUAGAAACGAAGGAGGAGUACACACAAUAUAAUAAAAUGUAAGGCUAUAAAUUUCUUUGCCAGAAGAUGUUCUCUGAUAUUUUGUUCUUCUGGAACA